rnacentral:rRNA from 1 species
UACGUAGGGUGCAAGCGUUUGUCCGGAAUUAUUGGGCGUAAAGAGCUCGUAGGCGGCUUGUUGCGUCGGCUGUGAAAUCCCGAGGCUCAACCUCGGGUCUGCAGUCGAUACGAGCAAACUAGAGUGUUGCAGGGGAGACUGGAAUUCCUGGUGUAGCGGUGAAAUGCGCAGAUAUCAGGAGGGAACACCCGGUGGGCGAAGGCGGGUCUCUGGGCCGAUACUGACGCUGGAGGAG